AAUGAGGUAACCCAGAUCCAGUUCCAAAAGGACAUUAAUGGGAUGAAGAAAGGGGCUAUCUCUAAGACGUGACAGAGACCUGGGAAAGGAGACAACCAAGAAUCAAUGGAGGUGACCUUAGCUGUGACUCCGCACUGGGGAUGUGGAGCCUGAAGAGACCACUUCAUGUAGCCAGGCAGGACUUUAGCAUGGUUGUCUUCUGAGAGGCCCCACCCACCUGAUUCAGAGUUAUGCACCCACAGCCAAACAAUGGAUGGAGCUUUGGAACUCUUAUGGAAGAAUAGGAGGAAGGAGUGCAGGUCCCAGAUCAGGAUAUGAACUUCCCAGGAAGAACAAUUGAGUUAAUUAACCUGGACCCUUGGGACUCUCAGAGUCUGAACCACCAACCAAAGAACAUACACCUGCUGAACCUCU